rnacentral:misc_RNA from 1 species
UAAUAAGUGUUCUACUGCACUUUUUAAAAAUAGUACUCACCUUGUGUGCAAUGUUGUGUGAAUUUCACACCUACACCAACCUUCAAUUUGAACCACUUUGUCUGAAAAACUAUUAUGAAUACUUAAUUCAAAAUA